rnacentral:sRNA from 1 species
AAAUAGGACUCACUAAAAUAACUUAGGAACUCAAGUUGCAAUGAAGAUGUUACUAAACACAAGGGAGACUUCAACAGAAAAACAAUUGAGACUAUAAAUAAAUAUAGAAUUGAUAAAAUACCAAAGUUACAGCUAAUAUGUGAUGCAUGCUAAAAACUUACUCAACUUAAUAACCAUGCAUGCAGGGAAGAAGGGUCCAAACUGACAACCUUGUAUCAGCAGGAAGUAUUAGGUACAUUUUAUUGAAGACUUACUACAUGUAAACAAACCAACAGGAACUUUAAAUCUGUCCCAAAAUGGUGUCUGCACCAGAAACCUUAACAUCAGAUGGAGCUUCUUCAACAUUAAGAGCCUUAACCUUUCCAUCUACCACAUAUGCUGACCACCUUUCAGAUCGUGUUCCAAGUAAUGCACCUGAGAGAUCAGUAACCAACUCCAAACUCUUGUGAAAGCUCCCGUCAAAGUCCCCGUAAAACUCAA